rnacentral:rRNA from 2 species
UGUUUUGUUUGUAAGGGCACACGGUGGAUGCCUUGGCAUACUGAGCCGAUGAAGGACGUGGGAGGCUGCGUUAAGCCUCGGGGAGCUGUCAACCGAGCGUUGAUCCGAGGAUGUCCGAAUGGGGAAACCCGGCCGUCGUUGUGGGCGGUCACCCGCCGGUGAAGAAAAUAGUCGGUGUGGGGGUAACGCGGGGAAGUGAAACAUCUCAGUACCCGCAGGAAGAGAAAACAACAGUGAUUCUGCUAGUAGUGGCGAACGAACGUGGAUUAUUGGCUAAACCGUAUGCGUGUGAUACCCGGCAGGGGUUGCGUGUGCGGUGUUGUGGGGCGAUGGCGUUGUGUGGUCUGCCGGCCGCGCCUGGUGAGUGUCUGUGUGUUAGCGGAAGUGGUUUGGAAUGGCCCGCCGUAGACGGUGAGAGUCCGGUACGUGAAAACACCCAGCCUGUCAGUGUCGUCGAUACCCCGAGUAGCAGCGGGCUCGUGGAAUCUGCUGUGAAUCAGCCGGGACCACCCGGUAAGCCUGAAUACUCAGUGUGACCGAUAGCGGAAUAGUACCGUGAGGGAAUGGUGAAAAGUACCCCGGGAGGGGAGUGAAAUAGUACCUGAACCCGUGUGCCUACAAUCCGUCAGAGCCUCCUUCGGGGGGUGAUGGCGUGCCUUUUGAAGAAUGAGCCUGCGAGUCAGCGGCAUGUCGCGAGGUUAACCCGUUCGUGGGGUAGCCGUAGCGAAAGCGAAUCCUAACUAGGGUGUUUUAGUGGCAUGUCCUGGACCCGAAGCGGGGUGAUCUACCCAUGGCCAGUGUGAAGCGACGGUAAGACGUCGUGGAGGCGCGAACCCACUUAGGUUGAAAACUGAGGGGAUGAGUUGUGGGUAGGGGUGAAAGGCCAAUCAAACUCCGUGAUAGCUGGUUCUCCCCGAAAUGCAUUUAGGUGCAGCGUUGCGUGUUUCUUGCCGGAGGUAGAGCUACUGGUUGGUUUAGCGGGACUACAAUCUUAGCGACAUCAGCCAAACUCCGAAUGCCGGUCAAGUGUAAGCGUGGCAGUGAGACUGCGGGGGAUAAGCUUCGUAGUCGAGAGGGAAACAGCCCAGAUCGCCGGCUAAGGCCCCUAAGCGUGUACUAAGUGGAAAAGGAUGUGGGAUCGCGAAGACAACCAGGAGGUUGGCUUAGAAGCAGCCAUCCUUGAAAGAGUGCGUAAUAGCUCACUGGUCGAGUGGUUCUGCGCCGACAAUGUAGUGGGGCUCAAGUACACCGCCGAAGCCGCGGCAGCGACACCUUUUGGGUGUUGUUGGGUAGGGGAGCGUCGUGCAUGGAUUGAAGCUGCCGGGUGACCGUGUGGUGGACUGUGCGCGAGUGAGAAUGCAGGCAUGAGUAGCGAAUGAUGAGUGAGAAACUCAUCCGCCGGAUGACCAAGGGUUCCUGGGUCAAGCUAAUCUUCCCAGGGUGAGUCGGGACCUAAGGCGAGGCCGACAGGCGUAGUCGAUGGACAACGGGUUGAUAUUCCCGUACCCGUGCACAUGCGCCCAUGGUGAAUCAGUGAUACUAACCGCCCAGAAGCGUUUCGCCACUUUCUUUGAUUGUGGUGUUUCGUGGAUGCGUGGGACCUGAUCUGGUAGUAGCCAAGCGAUGGGGUGACACAGAUUGGUAGUCGAGCCACUUAUUGGAUUGUGGUGUAAGCGUGCAGCCCGGGGGAUAGGUAAAUCCGUUCCCCGUUACAUGGGUGAGGCGUGAUGCGUACCCUUUAUUGGGGAUGUCGAUGAUCCUGUGCUGUCGAGAAAAGCCUCUAGCGAUGUGUGUGUGCGGCCCGUACCCCAAACCGACACAGGUGGUCAGGUAGAAAAUACUAAGGCGAUCGGGUGAACUGUGGUUAAGGAACUCGGCAAAAUGCCCCCGUAACUUCGGGAGAAGGGGGGCCAUGACGGGUCACCGGUCCUUGCGGCUGGUUGGCGUGUCGUGGCCGCAGAGAAUAGAGGGAAGCGACUGUUUACUAAAAACACAGGUCCGUGCGAAGACGAUAAGUCGAUGUAUACGGACUGACGCCUGCCCGGUGCUGGAAGGUUAAGAGGACCUGUUAGACCCACUUGUGGGUCGAAGCGGAGAAUUUAAGCCCCAGUAAACGGCGGUGGUAACUAUAACCAUCCUAAGGUAGCGAAAUUCCUUGUCGGGUAAGUUCCGACCUGCACGAAUGGCGUAACGACUUCCCUGCUGUCUCAACCACAGGCCCGGCGAAAUUGCAGUACGAGUAAAGAUGCUCGUUACGCGCGGCAGGACGAAAAGACCCCGGGACCUUCACUAUAGCUUGGUAUUGAUGCUCGGUUCGGUUUGUGUAGGAUAGGUGGGAGACUGUGAUCAUGCGACGCCAGUUGUGUGUGAGUCGUUGUUGAAAUACCACUCUGAUCGAAUUGGGUAUCUGUUAACCUCGGCCCGUGAUCCGGGCCAGGGACAGUGCCUGGUGGGUAGUUUAACUGGGGCGGUUGCCUCCCAAAGAGUAACGGAGGCGCCCAAAGGUUCCCUCAGCCUGGUUGGCAAUCAGGUGUUGAGUGUAAGUGCACAAGGGAGCUUGACUGUGAGACUGACAGGUCGAGCAGGUACGAAAGUAGGGACUAGUGAUCCGGCACCGGCUUGUGGAAGCGGUGUCGCUCAACGGAUAAAAGGUACCCCGGGGAUAACAGGCUGAUCUUCCCCAAGAGUCCAUAUCGACGGGAUGGUUUGGCACCUCGAUGUCGGCUCGUCGCAUCCUGGGGCUGGAGUAGGUCCCAAGGGUUGGGCUGUUCGCCCAUUAAAGCGGCACGCGAGCUGGGUUUAGAACGUCGUGAGACAGUUCGGUCUCUAUCCGCCGCGCGCGUUGAAACUUGAGAAAGGCUGUCCCUAGUACGAGAGGACCGGGACGGACGUACCUCUAGUGUGCCAGUUGUCACGCCCGUGGCAUGGCUGGUUGGCUACGUACGGAAGGGAUAACCGCUGAAAGCAUCUAAGCGGGAAGCCCGUUUCAAGAUAAGGUUUCGUUUGAGGUUCCCCAUAGACCAUGGGGUUGAUAGGCCGGAUCUGGAAGCACAGUAAUGUGUGGAGGUGACCGGUACUAAUACACCGAAACAAAACAAC